GAUCCUGGCUCAGGAUGAACGCUAGCUACAGGCUUAACACAUGCAAGUCGAGGGGCAGCAUGUUGGUUGCUUGCAACCAAUGAUGGCGACCGGCGCACGGGUGGGUAACGCGUAUCCAACCUACCCUUGUCCAUCGGAUAACCCGUCGAAAGGCGGCCUAACACGAUAUGCGGUUCACAGCAGGCAUCUAACGUGAACGAAAUGUGAAGGAGAAGGAUGGGGAUGCGUCUGAUUAG
rnacentral:rRNA from 1 species